rnacentral:rRNA from 1 species
UCCGUAGGUGGAUAAUUAGGUCAGAGGUGAAAUCCUGCAGCUCAACUGUAGAGUUGCCUUUGAUACUGGUUAUCUUGAGUCAUUAUGAAGUGGUUAGAAUGUGUAGUGUAGCGGUGAAAUGCAUAGAUAUUACACAGAAUACCGAUUGCGAAGGCAGAUCACUAAUAAUGUACUGACACUGAGGGACGAAAGCGUGGGGAGCGAACAGGAUUAGAUACCCUGGUAGUCC